rnacentral:rRNA from 1 species
AUUGAACGCUGGCGGCAGGCCUAAUACAUGCAAGUCGAGCGCACCUUCGGGUGAGCGGCGGACGGGUGAGUAACGCGUGGGAACGUGCCCUUUGGUACGGGAUAACUGAGGGAAACUUCAGCUAAUACCGUAUGUGCCCUACGGGGGAAAGAUUUAUCGCCAUUGGAGCGGCCCGCGUUGGAUUAGGUAGUUGGUGAGGUAAAGGCUCACCAAGCCUACGAUCCAUAGCUGGUCUGAGAGGAUGAUCAGCCACACUGGGACUGAGACACGGCCCAGACUCCUACGGGAGGCAGCAGUAGGGAAUCUUGCGCAAUGGGCGAAAGCCUGACGCAGCCAUGCCGCGUGAAUGAUGAAGGUCUUAGGAUUGUAAAAUUCUUUCACCGGGGAAGAUAAUGACGGUACCCGGAGAAGAAGCCCCGGCUAACUUCGUGCCAGCAGCCGCGGUAAGAC